rnacentral:tRNA from 1 species
GGCGCUGCUGAAAGUUGGAUCGGCCACUGCUAUCGCUGCAGUUCCGGACGGCCUUCUAAGCCGAUGGUCGCUGGUUCGAAUCCAGCCGGGGUCACCA